UCGGGUAUGGUGUAACGGCUAACAUUGCCGCCUCUCAUGACGAUUUCGCGGCAGCUCGGGGUUCGAUUCCCCGUACCCGAA